rnacentral:rRNA from 1 species
UGGGGAAUAUUGCACAAUGGGCGCAAGCCUGAUGCAGCGACGCCGCGUGAGGGAUGACGGCCUUCGGGUUGUAAACCUCUUUCAGCAGGGAAGAAGCGAAAGUGACGGUACCUGCAGAAGAAGCGCCGGCUAACUACGUGCCAGCAGCCGCGGUAAUACGUAGGGCGCAAGCGUUGUCCGGAAUUAUUGGGCGUAAAGAGCUCGUAGGCGGUUUGUCGCGUCUGCUGUGAAAACCUAAGGCUCAACCUUGGGCUUGCAGUGGGUACGGGCAGACUAGAGUGCGGUAGGGGUGACUGGAAUUCCUGGUGUAGCGGUGGAAUGCGCAGAUAUCAGGAGGAACACCGAUGGCGAAGGCAGGUCACUGGGCCGCAACUGACGCUGAGGAGCGAAAGCAUGGGGAGCGAACAG